UUAAGGAAUUGGUCUAGUGAUUAAUUGUGUCCUUAAACACACCUAGUUGGGGUCCAAAUUAUCUGUAUACCUUACAGACCUAAGGUAGGCACAAUUUUUAACUUAUCAUAAUCCUUUUUCUACGUUUGGACUAGGGUCCAACUAUGCUGCUCUUCACAUAGGCUGAGUUAAAUGUGUGUCACAUCUCAAGAGUUUAAAUGUGGAUAAUGUCAGUCAUUUGGAGUUCAAGCUUAGGGGACAAAAUCUCGUGAUUUGGACUCCAAAUGACUGACAUUAUCUCAAGAACUCCAAUAUCCUUG
rnacentral:lncRNA from 1 species